AUUGAACGCUGGCGGCAGGCCUAACACAUGCAAGUCGAGCGAGCGGCGGACGGGUGAGUAAUGUAUGGGGACUGCCCGAUAGAGGGGGAUCACUGCUGGAAACGGUUUCUAAUACCGCAUACUAUCGGCUACCCCAUAGGGGAUUAGCUAGUAGGUAAGGUAAUGGCUUACCUAGGCGACGAUCCCUAGCUGGUCUGAGAGGAUGAUCAGCCACACUGGGACUGAGACACGGCCCAGACUCCUACGGAGGCAGCAGUGGGGAAUAUUGCACAAUGGGCGAAAGUCUGAUGCAGCAAUGCCGCGUGUAUGAAGAAGGCCUUAGGGUUGUAAAGUACUUUCAGUCGAGAGGCGUUACCGACAGAAGAAGCAACGGCUAACUCCGUGCCAGCAGCCGCGGUAAUAC
rnacentral:rRNA from 1 species